rnacentral:lncRNA from 1 species
CCUUGCAGCUUGUGAGUGAUCGUAAGUCCGAUGUUGGGGAAUGUUUAUACAGUGUUCAGAUUUCCCACCUUCUCUCUUUUUUUACUGCAGUUAGUGAGAGGUUGUAACUUUAUUAUUUUUUUAGUUGUGAUGCUAAUUGAGGUAAGAUUGCAGAAUUCAAACAUUUCAAUUAAAUAAUUCUCAUGUUGUACAGGUGACAGUGCCAUGACAUAUUAAGCUAUGCCUAGCAAAGUGAGGUCUAUAAAAAUGGUCUAAAGUCUCAUACAAAUAUUGCAGAUAUCCCCCUUGUUUUUAUUGGGUAACUGUUUAUGGCAAUAUUUUCUAUUAAUUUAUAAACCCUUUAAAAAAAACUAUUGCAGACGCCAGUGAUUUUAGAAUAGCUGAUAAGAGCUACUCCAAUUAAUUUUUUUUGGCCCUGCUGUACUUCAAAUCAUGGCCCUACUUAAAUGCUUAGAUAUUUAAAUGGCACAUUUAUUCUAUGUAGGCAGCUUGGAAGAAUAUAAAUUUGACAGAGAGUACAUUUUAAGGAAGUAAAAUAUUUAUGUACAAUUUAUUUUGAUAGUUGCAUUCUUCUUGUACAUUUUUGCCAUGCAGUCAUAAUUUAUACAUUUAGAGUAUACCACUUUAAUCAGUAAUGAUUCCUAAAAAUCCUGGCAACUGCAGUUCGUUAAGGGUCCUGAGAGUUGUUAGGAGACUCCUGUUCCACUCCCAGAGCUACAAUUCUCAGUGGUUUAGCAAUCAAUCCCUGUUCCCAGGGAACAAUGUGACACAUUAAGCACAUGAAAGUAUUCCAGGGUAAAGCAAAAAUAAUAAUAACAACAAGUCAUUUUAAUGCUUUUACAGUUAUUAGAACCAGUUUUCUGGAUAACUCAUAACUAUAUUUAUUCUUGUAGCAACUAUCUAGGUCGUAGAUGCCUAACAUUAUUUUCCAUUAUUGGAAAUAUGCAGAAGCAAGUUACUUUUGCAAUUGGAUGAUUUUAUAAAAUAACAACAUUGCUUUACCUUUAAUUUAUGUAAACACAAUUUCUAGAACAAAUGAUUUAUGUGCUUCUCAUUCAUAUUGCAGGAGCAUAAUCAGAAAAAUCUGACUGGGGGAAAAGGUUGACACCAACAGGAUGCAAAUGAGCUCCUGGCUAGGAAGAAGUGUUAGCAGCAUGCAGAUAAACUACACAGAGAAAAAUGCUAGAAGGAUGAAUUUAUGCAUUGUUUUUAUUUUAAAGGAGAAACAGUUCCAUUUCACAUACAAUAGUAAAUAUGUAUAAGCAUGAAAAUUUAACCCUUAACUGAGGAAACAGCAUUAUUUCCCCUUCACCUAGUGAUUUAUUUUUGCAACUGCAUCAGUCACAACAGAAUUAUAAAGUCAGAGGAAGAACUGUUACAAUUUGGAAAUUUAUCCCCCAGAAAUUAUGUCUUUCUUUUCCAACUUUCCCCCUUUGAAAUUUUUUAAAUAACAUUCUUUUUUAAAAAUCCAUUUAAACUUUGAUAUUUAUGUUGUAUUUUUACUAUUACCAAUUAAAGAGUUAUAGUUUUUAAGAAAUCAUUUGAGAUUUGUGCCAUCUUAAAUCUUUAAUUAUGAAACCAUUUUUAACCUAGAAUAAAAACAGUAUUGUGUUCUCAAGGCAAAAUAUGAAGCUGUGUUUAAAAUUUAAAUAUGUGAUUAAGGUAUCCUGCACUUAUUUCUAGCAUUUGAAAGUAAUUAUGUUGUUUUGCAGAGAUGAUGAAUGUUCAUUCUCAUCUCUUUUUUUGCUGUAAAAGCUUUUCUGUUGUAAAAGCUAAGGCACAGAAAGUUUACGAUUUGGCUAUAACUAUACUAUCGGCAGAGUGACUAACUGAAUCAAAGAUUAUUAAUAGCUUAUUCUCAUCAUCACAUUAUAUCACCUUUGUAAGAAGAGCAUGUUUGAAUGUUUACAUAAGGAACAUUCUUAUGUAAUACCAGCAAUUUGUGGUAGGGUCCUUACUACACUCCCCAAGGCUUUUGUAUUUACUUCACUAGACAGGACAGCUCUCUCUCUCUGUGUGUGUGUGUGUGUUCACAGAGAGGCAUUCUAGACACAUUGCUCGACGGUAGUGAAGAGGAGGAUUUGAUUGUGUAGCUCCACAUAUGCAUCACCACAUGGUCUCUGGGUAAAAGUGACAAAAACAGUCAAAAGAUGCACUGAUUGCAAGUGACACAUUUUUGGUGCCCACUGUAUUGCAGAGAAUAGGUACAUGGGUGAUUGCAGACAUGAUAUGACAUAAUAUUUGUCCUUAACUUUGGCUGUGUCAAGAGCACCUCUCCUUAACACAGCUUAGCACCACAUCCAACCGUUAAGCAUGGAUAACACAAGGGUGCCAAGAUAACCUGGAAGGUUC